UACAGAGGCCACAAGCGUUAGGCGGAAUCACUGGGCUUAAAGCGUGUGUAGGCGGGUUGGUAAGUACCUUGUGAAAUCCCACGGCUCAACCGUGGAAAUGCUCGGUAUACUGCCGAUCUUGAAUCACCUAGGGGCAGCUGGAACUGAUGGUGGAGCGGUGAAAUGCAUAGAUAUCAUCAGGAACGCCAAUGGUGCAGACAAGCUGCUGGGGGUGUAUUGACGCUGAGGCACGAAAGCUAGGGGAGCAAACGGG
rnacentral:rRNA from 1 species